UACGGGGGGGGCAAGCGUUGUUCGGAAUUACUGGGCGUAAAGGGCUCGUAGGCGGCCAACUAAGUCGGAUGUGAAAUCCCCCGGCUCAACUGGGGAACUGCGCGGGAAACUGCGGGGCUUGAGUUCGGGAGAGGGAAGCGGAAUUCCGGGUGUAGCGGUGAAAUGCGUAGAUAUCCGGAGGAACACCGGUGGCGAAGGCGGCUUCCUGGACCGACACUGACGCUGAGGCGCGAAAGCUAGGGGAGCAAACGGG
rnacentral:rRNA from 1 species